AUGUAAUGUAAUGCCUACAAUGUUAAUGUGUUGGAUACCAUUAGAACUCUACAGUUAAGCGCGUUUGGGCUAUAUUACUACUAGGAUGGGUGACCUCCUGUGAAGUCCUAUUGUUUUACAUG
rnacentral:rRNA from 1 species